UAGAAAUAUUAUCAAACAAAGUACUGAAGGUGCCAGCAUCUGUGGAAAUCCAAAGUAAUUCCGACUUGGUAAGGAAGACAGAGUCAUGUGGUUGUCUUCCUGGUACUCUCCACGUCGGUCUUCAGCAUCUCCAUGACUUUAGAAAACCAGAUACUGUUGCUUGCUGAAUUAGUUACUUUCUCCUAUCUGGGACACACCCA
rnacentral:lncRNA from 1 species